UACAGAGGUCUCGAGCGUUGUUCGGAUUCAUUGGGCGUAAAGGGCGCGUAGGCGGCGGGGUAAGUCUGGUGUGAAAUCUCGGAGCUCAACUCCGAAAUUGCACUGGAUACUGCUCUGCUAGAGGGCUGGAGAGGAGAUCGGAAUUCACGGUGUAGCAGUGAAAUGCGUAGAUAUCGUGAGGAAGACCAGAGGCGAAGGCGGAUCUCUGGACAGCUCCUGACGCUGAGGCGCGAAGGCUAGGGGAGCAAACGGG
rnacentral:rRNA from 1 species